rnacentral:rRNA from 1 species
GUCUACAGCCAUGCCACCCUGAACGUGCCCAAUCCUGUCUGAUCUUGGAAGCUAAGCAGGGUUGGGCCUGGUGAGUACUUGAAUGGGAGACCACCUAGAAAUACCAGGUGCUGUAGGUA